UACGGGGGGAGCAAGCGUUGUUCGGAUUUACUGGGCGUAAAGGGCGCGUAGGCGGCCAGCACAAGUCAGUUGUGAAAUCUCCGGGCUUAACUCGGAAAGGUCAACUGAUACUGUGCGGCUAGAGUGCAGAAGGGGCAACUGGAAUUCUCGGUGUAGCGGUGAAAUGCGUAGAUAUCGAGAGGAACACCUGCGGCGAAGGCGGCUCUCUGGAACGCAACUGACGCUGAGACGCGAAAGCGUGGGGAGCAAACAGG
rnacentral:rRNA from 1 species